AUGCUAGUCUGUGUUUAACAGAAGUAUUAUGUUCUUGAUUAAAAAUGCAUGAUUCUGGAAGUCAUUGACAAUUUCUUGAAAGGACAUUAGGUCCUUUUAAGGAAAAAUUUCAUGUAGUUUCCCAAUCUGGAUUUAGUAAUAUAUGUACCUCUGUGUUGUAGGUUUGUGGUAGAUAGUCUUUUUAUCACGUUUAAAAAGCUCUUCAUUUGUGGGGCACUGGCAGGCUCAGUGGUUGAGUGUCUGACUCUUGAUUUUGGCUCAGGUCAUGAUCUCACAGUUUGUGAGAUUGAGUCCCUCAUUGGGCUCUGUGCUGACGGUGCAGAGCCUACUUGGGAUUCUCUCCCUCUCCUUCUCUCUUCCUGCCCCUCCCUGGAUCUCCCUCAAAUAAAUAAAUAAACAUUUAAAUAAAAAAAAAAAAAGCUCUUCUCAUGUUCCUAACUUCCUGAGAAGCUUUUGUUUGUGUGCAUGUUUGUUUGUUUUAAUGUUAAUUUUUGAGAGAGACAGUGUGAGUGGGGAAGAGGCAGAGAGAGAAGGAGACACAGAAUCCGAAGCAGGCUCUAGGCUCUGAGCUGUCCGCACAGAGCCCAACGAAGGUGAGAUCAUGACCUGAGACACUCAACUGACUGAGUCACCCAGGAGCCCCUGUUUGUUUUAAAUUAUGAAUAGGUGUUGAAUUUUUUAGGUUUGUUUUCUUCAUCAUUUAUUGAGAUGAUCAGGUAGCUUUUCUCUUUAAAUCUAUUGAAACACAGAAUUCCAUGGCUAGAUUUUCUAAUGUUAACAUAUACUUAGCUUUCUGGAGUAAACUCUACAUGUUGUUACCUGUUUUUGAAUACGUUAUAGAAUUUUCUUUUUUAAGAUUUUUGUUGUUUUCUUGUACAGUUUUGGACUCAGGAUGGUCCUAAUAUAAUAAAAUAAGUUGGGUAGCUCUCUACAUUUUUCUAGAUUUUUGGAAAACAAUUGUAGAAAUUAUCUUUUUCUUGGAAAUUUUUUAAAUCUCACCUUUUAAAAUUGUUCUAGCAUUUCAGUUUCAUCUAUUUUUAGUGGUCUCAUUUGAUUCCUGCUUUUUGAACUAAUUUUAGAAAAAGGGUUUUUUUGGAAAUUUCUCUUAAAAAAUGGUCCAUUUUACUUGAUAUUAUUUUUAUUUUUCAUUAUUUUUUAAGUUUGCUUAAUUUGAGAGCAAGAAAGAGCAUGUGGGUGCCUGCGCUUGAGCAGGGGAAGGGGCGGAGAGAGAGAAUCCCUGUGAGAUCAUGACCUGAGCCAAAAUCGAAAGUCAGAGGCUCAAGCAGUCCACUGAGCUAGCCAGGGUCCCCUCACUUGAUUUUUAAAAAUACGUAUUUAUCUGUGGGGCAGUUGGCUGGCUCAGUCAGUAGAGCAUGCGACUCUUGAUCUUGGGAUUGUAAAUUUGAGCCCCAUGUUGGGUAUAGAUAAAAUCUUUAAAGAAAAUUGUUUAAAGUUGUGUGUAGCGUUCUUUUAUGUGUCCUUUUUGUUCCUCAGUGUUGUUCGUUAAUCAUGUAUCUUUUUUCCCAGUGCUACUUAGCCAUCCAUCUAUUUUGUUGGGCUGUUCAAAGACCUAGCUUUGAAUUUUUUAAAUGCAAAAUGAUCUAUAAAUACAAACUCACUAGUAAUUAAUGGAACCUUAACAGACUACAUUUAUCCUCAGAUUGGUAUACACAAGAACUUAAUUUGUAAUAUCAGGCAUUGGCAGGUAUGUAGAAAAAUGUCUAAUGGCAGUUUGACAGUGGAAUAUAAAUUAUUGUAGAAAGAAAUUUUGUGAUGUCUGUUAAAAUUUUAUUUUAUUUUUAAAGUUUAUUUCUUUAUUUUGAGAAAGAGAAACAUAGAGCAUGAGCAGGGGAGUGGCAGAGAGAGAAGGAGAGAGAGAAUCCCAAGCAGGCUCCUCACUGACAGUGCAGCCAUGAGGUCAUGACCUGAGCCACAGUAGAGUUGGAGGCUUAACUGACUGAGCCAUCCAGGCGCCCCUGUCUAUUAAAAUUUUAAGAGCACAUAUCCCAUGACUAAGCAUUUGAACAUUUUGGAACUUAGGUUAGGUAAAUACAAAUAAAUACACAUAUCAAUUACACACACACACAAAUAUUUGUGUUAAAGUUUGUAAUAGCAAAAACUUGCAAGUAGCCUAAUAUAUAUCAGUUAGGGAAUUCCUUAUGUAAAUGAUGGCAUAUCUAUAUGCUGGACAAUUAUGCAAGAUUAAAUGUUGGUAAUAUGGUUGUUUUAUAUAUAUAGACAGGGAAGCAUCACCACACUAUAAUGUUGAAUCACUGAAGUUAUAUUACAACAUGUAGAGCAUGAUGCCAUUGAUAAAAAAUAAAUACAUAUCUGCAAAACAAUACUAUAUUUUUAGUAGAAAUACACUCAUAAUGUCAAUGUAAAAAAAAAGCUCAAUAUGGAAAAAUAAAUUGAUGUUUGUAGUUAUCUCUGAAGAUUAGGGACAAGACUGAGUGAUGGUCAAGGGAGUUUAGCUUUAUGUGUGAAUUAAAUGGUAAAGAUCAUAAUCAUGUAUUAUCUAUAUAAUUGAAAUUUUAAAAAUUAUGUAGAUCUUAAAGUAUUUAAAGCAAAAGUGCUUUUUUAUUAAGAGUUUCAGAAAUUCAAUAACAUUAAUUGCUGUCUGCCUGGAUAAUAAAUACAAUAUUUUAUUUUGUAUAAAAAUACAAAAUAGCACUUGUAUUUUUAUAAAUACUUUGGAGGAUUUUAAGAAGUAUAAGAUGCUUUUUUCCACAGGAAAAGGCAAGUAUUUUCCUAAACCUUGUUAGAUAAUCCACAACAUGUUUACUACUCCUGUAUUAUUACACUCCUAUAAUCCCAAGGGUCAAACGUAUUGGAAGAAUUCCAGUAUGGGAAAUUAUGUAAAUAAGGUUGGUGGGAUGUAAAGUAAGGCCUUGCCUUCAGUGUAUGUUUUGUAUGGUAUUAGAUGAGGAAAAAAUUAGUUCAACAUAAGUUAUCCUUUGUGACAAUGAAGGGUUGUUUUUGUUGUUUGGUUUUGAAUUUUUUUUAUGUUUAUUUAUUUUUGAGAGAGGGACAGACAGACAGAGCACGAGUGGGGACAAAGGCAGAGAGAGAGGGAGACAUGAAAUCUGAAGCAGGCUCCAGGCUGUGAGCUGUUGGCACACAGCCUGACUCGGGGCUCAUACCGUGAGAUCGUGACCUGAGCCAAAGUCGGACAGUUAACCGACUGAGCCACUCAGGCACCCCCCGUUUUUUAAUUUUAAAAUAGAAUUAGGAACACCGUUUGUAAACUACUGAGGGAGAAAAAGAACUGAGUACACUUCCUAAAUAGAGAGGCUAUAAGUUACUCUGUUUCCAUCAUGUGUCUGAAUUUAUAUGAUGACAGUAGGAAUAGAUGAGAUCAAAUGGUUGUAUUAAAUUUUGCACUAACCUAGACUGAUCUAGAUAUUGUGAAUGACCAGAACAGACUCUAGUGGCUGCCACCCAGGAAGUGUGUAAACAUUUUCUGUUCUGAUUGCAAAGAAUGAGAGAUAAGCUAAUCAGAAAAUGCCAACUUUUUUUUUUAAGUUUAUUUAUUUGUUUUGAGAGAGACAGAAACAGCAUGAGUGGGGGGAGGGGCAGAGAGAGAGAGGGACACAGAGGAUCCAAAGCAGGCUCUGGGCUGCCAGCCUGGAUGGAGCUCAUGUGGGGCUUGAACCCACGAAACCAUGAGAUCAUGACCUGAGCCAAUGUUUUUUAUACAUUAUGCGCCUGCUUGCCUGCUGUAAUGUUGUAGGUGAAUGUAAGCCAGAUACCUGACUCACUCAGUUACUGUUUUCCCUUGACAGCUUAGUCAGGAUCAGUUGUUGUAUAGCAGGGAUGAGUGUAAAUGUGGAACCGGAAGGAGAAAACUAUAUUGUGCGGAGGGAAUGGGAACCAACCGGCCAGUUAUUCCACACUUUUCUGCAUGAUGCUCUGAAGGUUGAAGCUUAAACUGGCAGUUUAGUAAGGUCAUAGAUUUCCAGCCUUUUCUUGAAAUGUAUCUUUACUUUCUUAGUUUCUCUUUUUUUUAACCUUGAGUUAAAAAGUUGCCUUCAUAUGUUUUCAUGACUAAAAUCUGAGAAGUUAACUGUCUUUUUAUUCAUUAUUUAACUAGUUGAGUGUAGUGUAUUCUAGAAACAAGCUAGAAACGUUAUAGAAAUAAAAGUAAUUCUGAAAUAGCCAGGAGGAACCACACUGUUCUUAGAACCAGUAUUUUCUAGGGUCGCCUGGGUGGCUCAGUGGGUUAAGCCUCUGACUUCACCUCAGGUUGUGAUCUCGCAGUUUGUAGGUUCGAGCCCCGUGUCCAGCUCUGUGCUGACAGCUCGGAGCCUGGAGCCUGCUUCGGAUUCUGUGUCUCCGUCUCUCUGUCCCUACCUUGCUCACACUCUGUCUUUCUCUCUCUCAAAAAUAAACCAACAUUAAAAAAAACAAAA